rnacentral:rRNA from 1 species
UACGUAGGGUGCAAGCGUUGUCCGGAAUUAUUGGGCGUAAAGAGCUCGUAGGCGGUUUGUUGCGUCGGCUGUGAAAUCCCGAGGCUCAACCUCGGGUCUGCAGUCGAUACGAGCAAACUAGAGUGUUGCAGGGGAGACUGGAAUUCCUGGUGUAGCGGUGGAAUGCGCAGAUAUCAGGAGGAACACCGAUGGGCGAAGGCAGGUCACUGGGCCG